CCUACGGGCGGCAGCAGUGGGGAAUAUUGCACAAUGGGGGAAACCCUGAUGCAGCGACGCCGCGGGAGUGAAGAAGUAUUUCGGGACGUAAAGCUCUAUCAGCAGGGAAGAAAAUGACGGUACCUGACUAAGAAGACCCGGCUAACGACGUGCCAGCAGCCGCGGUAAUACGUCGGGGGCAAGCGUUAUCCGGAUUUACUGGGGGUAAAGGGAGCGUAGACGGCAGCGCAAGUCUGGAGUGAAAUCCCAUGGCUUAACCAUGGAACUGCUUUGGAAACUGUGCAGCUAGAGUGCAGGAGAGGUAAGCGGAAUUCCUCGUGUAGCGGUGCAAUGCGUCGAUAUUAGGCGGAACACCAGUGGCGACGGCGGCUUACUGGACUGUAACUGACGUUGAGGCUCGACAGCGUGGGGAGCAAACAGGAUUAGAUACCCCUGUAGUC
rnacentral:rRNA from 1 species